rnacentral:rRNA from 1 species
UCGUCGCUAGUAAAUUUUCUAGCGAUACUGCCCGUAAAACGAGGAGGAAGGUGGGGAUGACGUCAAGUCAGCACUGGCCCUUACGCCUUGGGCUACACACACGCUACAAUGGGUGAUACAACGGGUUGCGAGAGAGCGAUCUGGAGCUAAUCCCUAAAAUCAUCCUCAGUUCGGAUUGCAGGCUGAAACUGCCUGCAUGAAGUUGGAGUUGCUAGUAACCGCAGGUCAGCACACUGCGGUGAACUACGUUCUCGGGCCUU